AGAAUAGAGAGAGUAAUUCUUAUUUCUUCUCUUCAGGGAUGAUUUUUCUAGGAGAAUUUGCCCUAGUUUCAUACUAAAAGACAAAUAUAUCAAAUCCUGAUAGAUAUCUAGAUCUUAUUAGAUCUUGAUAUACAUUCACUAUAAUAUAAAUACAUUUAUAAUAUAUAUAUAUAAUAAUAUUUAGUAAAUGGUGGUUAACGUUAGUCACACACAGUUUGCCUGCCCAAUAGGCGAAUUGUCCCUUUUGGUAUCAAUGUGUUUUUAAGAAGCAUCCGUUUUGAUUUAUAAGCUCCAAAUUUUGUCCGUUUUGGCGCCAGACUCGCUCAUCGAUCACUAAUGCAGAAUUCGUCAGCUUUCUCCAUCAAGAGAAUGUACAACACUCUAAGAGGGUCAUUUGCCUAAAAAAACUACUCCGCAAUAUUGUAUAUAUUUAACUGUCAACCUGUGCCCUCAACGCAACACUACAGACAAGUGAUCAGUGGACAAUCUUUUCUUCACAUGUCCCUACUCCGCAAACAGAUUGAAUUGUUGCCAGCCAUUGAAUAUAAUACUUUUUCUCAUCUGCAAUAACUUCAAUCACAUUACAUUUCAACACAACACAUGAGAACUGAGGCCAGCAGCAAAUUAAAGUCAAUUUGUAUUUGUUUUAAGAAUUUAUUAUGACCAAGUGGAAGAACAAACAAAUCUUAUGGAUACAUAUUCGCUAGUAAAAUACCUCACCAAAGUAUUAUUUUGUGGAUAAUACAAAUC
rnacentral:lncRNA from 1 species